rnacentral:rRNA from 1 species
UACGUAGGGCGCAAGCGUUUAUCCGGAAUUAUUGGGCGUAAAGAGCUCGUAGGCGGUUUGUCGCGUCUGCCGUGAAAGUCCGGGGCUCAACUCCGGAUCUGCGGUGGGUACGGGCAGACUAGAGUGAUGUAGGGGGAGACUGGAAUUCCUGGUGUAGCGGUGAAAUGCGCAGAUAUCAGGAGGAACACCGAUGGCGAAGGCAGGUCUCUGGGCCGAUACUGACGUGAGGAGCGAAAGCGUGGGGAGCGAACAGG